UUUUUUUUUUUUUUUGGUAGAGGAGAAAACUGAUGAAUAAAACUAAGAUCUUUGCUUUAAAUGAACACUAUUUUGCUACUUCCACUCUGAAAUAUCUGGUCUGAGAAAGCCAAGCCUUGGCUUUAGAAUUUGGCAUUUUAUUGCUGAAAUAGGUCAUCCAAAAUCUAAGAUAUAAAUCUCGUUGCUGUAAAUCUAAACCUGCUGACCAAAAGGUUUUCACAGACAAGAAGGCUGUGGCUGUAUGAACAACGGUAUCCUAGUCCCCUGACUACCUGUUCUGCUUUCUGUAAAUGCAAGAUCACAUAGUCUUUGUUUCAGUAUGAGCCAAGUUUGUUACUAAUGGGAAGAUGCAGCCUAUCUCAUAUCUCAGCAUAUGAUACUCAGUCUUGAUCAGAGAUAUCACAUGCUGAGACUUGCUGCAAGUUUUGCUGAUUAUUCCUCUGUAUUAAGAUGAGGACAGCUGUAAUAUACUUCAUUUUAUUCACAUUGCACAGACUUCUAAGAAACUGCCAAUUCAAUCCACAGCUGGGCAAAGAUCUGGCAUUCUGACAAUACCCCAUCAGAAUUCCAUAGGCAUGCUGAUACCACCCACAAAUGAGAAGGCAUACAUGCUACCUUCCUGUGAGUUUGUAACUGCUGGAAGAGAAAGAUCAGAAGUAAAGCUGCAGUAUCAAUACUCAGAUCCUUAGUGUAGCACUCAAACUGUACUGAAAAGUAGACUCACAAUCAAAAGCGAGUGAAAAAAGGCAAGAUCUGAUUGGCACAGUUUUUGAGGUCUCCAGGUGUAGAAAGGGGCAGCCUCCAACAGUCACUAAGUUUUGAUUAGUAAAGAUGCAUGUGUUUGAUUCUGAAAGAUGCUUAACCAAAAAACCCAACAAACCAGCAAACAGAAGGGGGUACACUUCAUGACAGUUUACAAUUUCAAUGUAUAGAUCUACCACAGCCAAUAACACUACUACUGGUAGAAAAUGGAAUAUGAGGAAGUGGUUUGAGGAAAAAGCAAAAGUUUCACAGACACAUCAUUGGUGUUGCUAUGUAUAUGCUUACACCGUGCUGCUGUGUAUGCUUCUAUUUAACACUGCCUGUGUGAAUAUGUCUGCUUUCUAGUUCGAGGCAAACAAACAGUUUUUCUGGCGUGCCAGGUUCUAUCAUACAGUAACUGAUGUGACUGUUUAUAAAACAAAGGAAGUCUCCCACUGAUCUCUGAGUUAAAUUUCUCAGGGUUAUGUUUUAAAAUUACUUGACCUCCCAGAAUUGAACAGAUGAUGCCUACAGAUUGAAGCAUACACCUUAAGUAUUUGUAGCCUAGAGAAUAUUGUAAAGUUUAAUGGUAUCAAAGUUCUAGAAAAAUUGCAUUUCUCACUACUGAAACAAUAUCUCUAACCUAGACAUUCUUAGCAUUCAAGCCCUAAAUAUCAAAUUAAUAAUGAUUGAUUAUGAUAAUGAAUUUUGCAAUUCAUAUAAUAAUAUUUUCAUCAGCAUAAAUAAAGUGUGUGACCCUGGAGAUGUGGAUGUCUCCAAGCAAUUGAAAAAACCAAUCUCAAACAGGGAUUAGGAAUUAAUUUCCUUUAUGUACCUUUCCACCUAAACCAGUAUGGCACAAAUCAAUAUACACUUUGAACUGGUACUAAUUACAUUUGAAUCAAUUUACAUCAUUUUCUGAGGCUUUUUAAAAGAAAAUAUUUUAUCUACCUCUAGGCACCUAGUUUAAAGGCUUUGAAUGCUUUUCAGAAAGCAAAUUCAAAGAUUUGUGAUUUUAAAUGUCUUACUUUUGGAGGUACUUUGGAUGUAUUUUUGGAUGCACAGUUUGAGGCACUUUGAAGAUCCUUACCUGCCAGAAAGUCCUGAGCAAUGCUCAAGCAUUUGGGGUGUUUUUGGGAGCUCAAGACAGGCAUUCAAAACCUCUGAAAAUCUUGCUAUUAGAGCCCACAUAAAAUUUCAGCUGAUAAAUUGUAGCACAUUUUACAUAAUGGAAAGGCUGCAUACAGCUUAACCCCCCAAUUCACUGAAUUAUUUUUUUCUGCUUUAUAUAUAUCAUCAUGUAUUAAACAAACAUUUAAUAUUUUUAAUAUUAUUUUAAAUAUAUUGAAAUUAUUGAACAUUAAUAUUGAAUAUCGAGUAUUGUGCCAAACCUGCAACAUGCUUAGCGAUAUAUAAAAAUAGGAAAACAUCCCUUAUUAAAUUCCUUUCAUCUGUUCCUAACCCCACUGUCAGUGACAGGAGAAGCAAGAAGAACUUGACUAUCUCUCUUAGUGGAGCUUGGAAUACCUCACCUUAGAGCAGCAGCAACAAAAAAGAAAAUCACAGGAAAAGAUAAUCCACUGAAUUUUAUCCUGCUUAAAUGAACUAAUGUUUUAGAUGCAUAUAAUUUCAUUUAGAUUAAACAAUCCAUUCCCUAACCUUAGUUUUUAAGGUGCUUAAUGUAACAGGAAAAAUAAAAAUCAAGUGAAUUAGGAAAAUUAUAUUAGAAGCAAAAAAUGUAAUUAUCUAGCCAAAUUGUAUGCACAGAAUCGGAAUUCAGUUGUUUGCCAAGACCAUUGUUGGUAGUGAAAUUGCCACACGUAUUUGUGCAGCUACAGUAGAUGCACCUUGAUGAAGUCUAGAAAAUUGCACUAAUCACACAGUGAUUUAUUAAGACUGCCUGGAAGCUGAUUUAGUAAUUUUCUCAUAAAAAACUCCUCCUGCCAGUUGUUCUACACAUCACAAGAGUGUUUCCAAUAAUGUACAGCAAAACACUUAUUAGAAAUGAGGUUCACAUUUUAAAAAUUACCAAUUUUUUUCCAGAGUAACUGAAUUUAGACACUAUUUUUACUUUUCUAUUGUAUAAUAAUGUGGGUACCUCAGAAAUACUGACACUUUCUCACUUGUAUCUCAUUAAGCAGGAGUAUUACUAAUUCAGCAUCAUUUGAAAUUUGAAUUAUAUCCACCGUAAUGCCCUUUUAUGACAUCUGCAAUCUUGCUAUCCUCAAUGUUUGCAGAAGACAUUGCUUAACUUCAGAGACAUUGGCUAGCAGCACUGAAAAAAAGAGAAUUUAUUACUAGAUCAAAGAAACUUGGAUUAAAAACUCCUUCAUUAAAUUUUAGUAAAACUACAUCCUUUCCACUACAGAUUGGCAAUAAGUCACAAGAGUAAUAAUAAUCCAGUUGAAUUGCAUGUGAGUGUUGUUAUUAAAAGAUAAUUAUAUAAUAGUUUAAACCACCUAUGAUACUAUUCAAUAAUUGUUUAUUCAUCUUAUUUCUAACAGCAUAUUUCCUAGGUAUGCUUUCUCUUAAAAUUUUCUUUAAUAAAGGAUAAUAAAAUUGAGAAAAAUAUGAACACAUUAGAGAUUACUCCAGCUGAGUACAGUCUCAUGCUUGUACAUACAGAAAAGCAGUAAGUAGCUCAGGUAACAACAAUUUUCUCACAGGAACAUGCCAUAAAAUAAUAUACUUUUUUGACAAGAAUUAACAGUUCCUUUUUACUUUUCAGUGAACCCUCUGGCCAUUUCAGGAAUAACAAUGAUAGGCUUGGGUAAGAGUCACUGCAGUCAUCUCAGCCAGAUACAUGUUUAUCAGAGGAUUGCACAUGGAAAGCAAAGAAUAAUGACAAAAGCUAGAUUUUGUAGGGUUUUUUUUUUUAAAAAGAACAUCCUAUUAUUCUGUGCAAAAAAGCUAACAAAAGAAAAAUACCGUGAAAAAUUCAUGGCAGACCAAACAGACCAUCCUACAUCAAAACCCAGUAUGUUUGUCUCAUUUAUGGAAGAAAUAGAAAUGAGAUAUUUGGAACGCCCAAUCAAAAUAAAACUAUCUUCUGCAAUUACAAUUUUCUGGAUAAAUAUGAAAUAACUUUUUCUCAUCUCUAGAGACAGUUAUAUAAAACUAUCUAUAAAAGCAUGAAGCUGGUGACCUGUUUGUAGGAGCCAGUUCCUGGAAGCAGCACAUACAUUAGGCACUGUGCUGAGACAUGCUGAGAAUUUUGAAGGGUUCCAGAGGGAGGAGAGGGAGCUAAGAUAUGCUGCCUCUUGAGGGAAGCAGGCCAUUUCUCCAUUUUGCUGAAAUCAUUAGUCACACAGAGCCUCAUUCCUGAGUGGGAUCUGCAGCUAUAAUUAGUGCUGAGACUCUCAUUUGCAUUCUUGCUAUAAAAGUUAAUAUUUUACAUGUCAAAUAACCCAUAUGGAUUCACGUUUAAUAUUAAAAGAACUGCUGUUCAUAAUAUAUAGGCAGAACACGUUAUUACACAUAUUUAUGCCUCAUACCAGGUAUCUUUUAUGUUAGAAUAAUGAAAUAUGACUUAUUAAUGCAGCUGCGAAUCUUUUUGUUAAUAGUCUGAUUAUAAAUGUGUUUAAUCCACACAAUUUUAGUAUUUUCUGAAUCACUAUGAGUCAGAAAUAUACCUUUUCUUCCCCUUUGCACAAUUUAGCCUUACAUUUUCUUGCAAGUAUCCUGUUCUGCCAUUGCAAAUGAUGCCAAAAAUAUUUCUAAUUUUUGAGUCUCUGCAGAAGCAUGAAGCAGAAGCAUGAAGACUAUGUCUGAAAAUGGAUCUCACCUACAUGAAGCUCCAUGGCUGAUCAAUUGCUAAACACACAGGCUUCAAAAUCUGGUUACUAGAAAAUGUCAGGUAAAAUAAAACCUAUUAUUCUUAAAGAUCUUUUGACCUCUGCUUCCAUAUAGCCAAACUUUAGUCAGCCAGUUGGGAAGUUGUAGGAGAUUCUAUCAAAACCAAACUUUUUGUAAGUAUUCAUUGAAAUAUCCUGAAAUUGCAGUUAGCUAAGUCCUAUGGAAACACCUGUAACAUCCAUAUGAAUAGCAAAUGAAUUCUUUAUGAUCAUUGCUAUUAGAAUGAAUACUGGCUGAAUUCCUUAUGAUCAGUGCUGUUAAAAAGGAAUAUUAAACAAGAUCCACAUAGAAUAAAAUCUGUCACAAUAACAACAGUUGUUGCUAUAAAUUGUUGGCAAUAAUAAUUAUUGCAUGUGUUACAUGUAAGUGCAGAAAAAUCAAAAGCAGACUGAUAAUGGACAGAUGAUAAUGGACAAAAAAAGACACAAUCAUUUCUGAUUUCUUUUAAGAGAUGGGAUAAAAGUAGCGCAUGAAUACUAUGUGCUACUUUUCAUCCUGGAAGUCUUAGAUUUUCUACAUUAUUGUUCUAAUUGUCAAAAUCAUCUCACUCGGUUCAAAUGUACUUUUCAGAGUGACUGAAGGGUUAAUACAAGAGAAGCAUAAAAGACAAUCAGAUGGUAGUACAGUGUGCUUAACUGGAGUGUUUGGUUAAGUUACUAUCUCUACCAUUUCUCCUGGCCCUAGAAGCUGGAGGGCUAGCUUUUAGAUAUUAAUGUACUCAAUAUACUAUAAGUCACUUCUUGGCAAGACCUGUAUGGUCAGCAAUCACAAAUACAACAAAGUAAAUAGCAGUGAGCAUACAGAUCUUCACAGUGCUGACCACAGCCAUGCUCCUCACAGCUAUUUUUUCUUUGGCUGGAGAGGGGAAACUGGAAAUGAAGCAACAAUUCUUUUUCUCAUAGAAGAAAGGCUGGGCCCAGAAAAUUUAAAUCAGUGCGAUAACAGCUGUCUUUCCAGUAUAAGGUAGUGUAGCAACUGGCGCUAAGAAUUAUAAUGUGAAGGAAAAAAAAAAUCUUGCAUUUUUGAAAGGAUUUUCAAAUAUAUUCCUGCUAAAAUCAUAGGAUAGCUUAUUGUGCUUUAGAAACUUCCACUGUACAUUUUGGCUAACACUUUUUCUUUCUCUGCUGUGGGUCAUGCCAUAGAAGUGUGGCAUCCCUUGCCAGGCUUCCACAAGGCUGUGUGAAAAUAGUGUGCAUUAUUGCAGUGUGCCCACAGAAAUCUGCCUCCCUGCCUUGAAAUAACUUCAGCAAAGAAAUAAAAUACAAAGAGCUAAGCUACUGCAUGUGCAAUAAUGAUAUGUUGCUCUUGUUAAUAAUACUGUUACUAAAUAUGGAUGGCACUUAGCACAAGAUAAGGGGAUAAGUACAAUACCUCGAUCAUUGUGCAACCUGAGAAGUGAACACUUGAUU
ensembl:lncRNA